ACUUAAUGUUGUUUCAAAGUUAUGUUGCUGCUCAAUUAGAGAACAUGAUAGCUUAAAGUUGUGCAAUGCUCCCUUAUAAUGUUAUUCUCCAGCCACCUGCU